AUUCUGAGCCAAAUGUAAGUGAACAUGGCCUGUGACACAGCCCUCAGGAGACCCUGAGAACAUGUGCUCCAGGUGGUCGGGGAACAGCGUGGUUUUAUACAUUUUAGGGAGACAUGAGAGAUCAAUCAAAUACAUUUAAGAUAUACAUUGGUCCUGUCCAGAAAGGCAAAACAACUUGAUGUGGGGGCUUCUAGAUUAUAGGUAGAUAUAACAAUUUUCUGAUUGGCAAUUGGUUGAAAGAGUAAUUAUCGAUAGAAAGGAAUGCCUGGGUUGUAAGAGGUUGUGGAGACCAAAGUUUUAUCAUGCAGAUGAAGCCUCCAGGUAGAAGACUUCAGAGAGAAUAGAUUGUAAAUGCUUCUUAUCAGCCUUAAGGUCUGUGUUGAUGUUAAUGCUGGAGGGUAUGAUGAGGCAUGUUCGACUCCCACUUCCCAUCAUGGCCUGAACCAGUCUUUCAGGUUUAAUUUUCGAGUGUCCUGGCCCAGAAGGAAGUCCAUUUAGAUGGUUGAGGGGGCCUCAGAAUUUUGUUUAGUCCCCAUGGCUCCCUCUAAAGUUGAACUCAUAGUCCUUUCUUCUUGCAAGAGUUCCUGUAAGAAAAAAAAUAAAACAACACCAAAAACACUAAUCACAGGAAAACUCCAAAGCUUUAGGUGCAACAUGGUGGGGAAGUUAAAAGCACAGCUUGGAAGUCAGGCUUCUUGGGUUGCUGACCCUGGUCUACAACUAUGUAGCUUCUACAGCUUGGUGCUAUAGUCUGAAUGUCUGUGUCCCCUGAAAGUUUAUAUGUUGAAACCUAAUGAAUGUGAAAAUUGCAGAUACCAGGAUGAAAUCACUUUUCAUCCUAGCUCAUGCUUACAUGUCUGAAAUGAGAACUGUUUCCAAGGACUUUCUAAAAACGUUUUUAUGUCCUUCAUGUAUCUCUCGCUUUGCUAGAUCCCUAGAUGUUCUCCAGGACUGCUGUUAUUCAGAUAAGAUGUUCUGAGGUAAACCUGGGGCUUAUGUGCCUGUCAGAAAGUGACAUUCUUUACUUACUACAGGUCAGAAAUCUUGUACGGAGACUGUGUACACAAAAUAUGGGGCCAGUUUUUCCAAGGACUUUAUUGGUUCCAUAAGUCAAGUUUGAUUCCUUAAAGAAAAGCACACCAUUCCAGUCAAAGUCUUAGUAAAACAACCAAUUUCUCCAAUCGUGUCCUGUUACAAAUUAGAACAGAUUCUUAUUGCACUUAUGCAAAUAACUGUAUCACCAUAAGUUAAGAAUACUUACAAAUAGUUUCUGAAUUCUGGAGAAAUCAGGUAGAGAGAAACAAAUAUGCUCCAAAUUUUGUCAUAGGAGUAUACUAAAUUGUUAAAAGCUGUCAAUAGCUCAAAAGAAAAGUUUUAAGACUGAAACACAAAACAAAGGAUCAGCAAACAUUUUAAGCAAAAAGUCAAAAAGAUUGGUUCAGUCUAUGCAGUUAAUUCCUGUUCUGCUUGAUACUCAUGAACAUUUUAGCUCUCCAUGAGUCCUGAAACUUUUCCCUCUAUUCUGAUGUCACAAUCUCCAAAGUUAUCAGAAACCUGCAUGUAAGAGCACCUGUUGGAGUUUUACAGCUGAUUAUAAAACCACCUUCUAAAGAGGACCAAAAUAGGCCAGGUGUGUGGCUCACAUCUGUAAUUUCAGCACUUUGAGAGGCCAAGGUGGGCUGAUCACCUGAGGUCAGGAGUUCAAGACCAGCCUGGCCAACAUGGUGAAACCCCAUCUCUACUGAAAAUACAAAAAAAUUAGCUGGGCAUGGUGGUGUAUGCCUGUAAUCCCAGCUACUCGGGAGGCUGAGGCAGGAGAACCGCUUGAACCUGGGAGGUGGCAGUUGCAGUGAGCCAAGAUCGUGCCGCUGCACUCCAGCCUGGGCAACAGAGUGAGUCCCCAUCUCAAAAAUAAUAAUAAAAAUAUAUUUAAAAAAGAGGACCAAAACAACAAUUGUGCAUGGAAGAAAAAAGUUUUAAGGCAGCCAUAGUCAAAAGACAAAACUGACAAGGAAAUUUUUUACCUCUGUGGCACACAAUAAUUUUAAUAUAACAAUUAUGAUUAUUACUGAUAAUGUACACUAAGUUAUAUUAGAAUUAUAGGAGUUUCACAUAAUUUUGGAACAUACACCAAUAACAUAUUUAUACAAAUACAGCCCAAAGAAAACCAAACACCAUUUCACAUUUGACAAUGCUUCCUAUAUAAUUUUUAUACCAAAUAAGCCAAAUUAUGUCAUUUUAGGACUUUAGGGAAACUAAGAUCUUAAAGGAUUAAUUAGGUUAGAAAAAUACAUAAUUUAUAAUUUGAUUUUGGAAAGCUUGUCAAAUACAAAAGGUUUAAAACACUUGACAUUACAAAAUAAAAUUACAGGUCAUCGUAAAGUCAUUUAUUUAAUCCAAGUGAUAAUUCAAGGAUUUCAAAAAAAGCAAAAACCUUCAUUCUUUGAGAGAGGUGACUUAACUUUCUAAACAAGAAGCCCUAAUAAAAACAGCCUGAAGCCAAUCACAUUUGAUUUUCAAAAUUUUGUAAACAAACUAUAAGAUUUAAUCUUGAUUAUAAAAUAUAACUUCCAUAAGCCUUUUAUAACCUUUAUGAAGGAGUUGGUUAAUGCUUCAAGAAAACCUUGCUAAUCAGACACAGGGGUCCAUAUACUGAUUUUGCAUCAGUGUGCCUUUGACUUGAAUGAUUAGUUCAUAGAGAAACUGAACUUACUGGAUCUUUCAAAAUCGGCCCUUACAAUCUUACGCGCCCACCUCUUCCGCAAUAGUCCCUGGGCCUUGAGGAGUUGAAUAGCUUUAAUUUCUUGCCUAGUGCCUCAGGAAUGCAGUUUAUUUUGAUUGGCAUCUUCUACGGGGCCUUAAGAUGAGGCUUUGAUUGUCAUCAGUGUUUGUGAUUUUUCAGACACAGGAGUUAAAGCCCUGUAACUCAAUGUUACAAGGACUUUAAAAGCAUACACAGGAAGAUACAUGGAUGUAAUAACCUUGAUUUUUUAAAAAUUAGCUCUUUCUUCCCUAAGCAAACCAAAACUUAAUAAUAAUAUGACAACUUGAUUAUAUAAAAGCUUUUGGGGUGUGUGUGUGUGUGUGUAUAUAUAUAUAUAAAAUCUUAUCAUGACUUACACCAAUGUUCAUGACAUGCUUGGACUUUCUGGUUUGUCCUGAACAUCCCUCCUUGUUAAACAACCAGUUAUUUUAUUUUAGGACUAAAUUUACCAUAUAAAAUUCUUUCUUAUAUAAAAUUAUUUCUUUUUCAGCUUUUUAACCUUGAAAAAAUUCUUUAUUUUUAUAACUUUAUUUACAUUUUUUUUCUUUUCUGGUUCCUUUUACCUUGUUUUAUAUAUAACCUUUUAAUAAGCUUUGAAUUAGACAAAACUUGUUCACCAUUUUUUUAAAAAAGGACACACUUUUUUUUAAGCAACAAUGUUUUCCUACAAGAUAUAUUUAUUGGAAAAUACCCAAAUAAUAAAUUAUCUAUUAUUUAAUUUAAUAUGACUUUAUAUUCUAAAUUAUGUCCAGUUGGUCUAUAAGUAUUUAUCCCAUUACAUUUACCUAGUUAUUUUAUUAAUUGUUUACCUAGAUUAUUUAUAAAAACUGUGAUAGUCAUGAUUUAAAGUUAUGAAACUUCCAUUGCAAAAUUACAACUGAGACAGUGAAAAACGAUUUGACCUAACUGACUCCACCUUGCUCUUAACUUCCAAGCUGUCCUUGUUCAUUCCUGGGCAUAGGCCGAAUGAACUUUGGGAGGAACCUAGUUUAAGUUCAGCUUCGAAACAAUGACAAUAACAGUCCUUUCCCAAAACAAACCUCCUUAUUGUCUGUGGACUAAACUGCCUAAAGCCACAGGAUUAGAAGUUAUGGUAAUCUUACUAAAUUCAAGAUGCAGCUGUUUUCAUUAAACCCAUAUCAAUGUCUUAUUUAUUAAAAAUUACACAAGCAAAGAUCAUUCUGUUUUGGGCUGGGUUUAUAGUUUUAUAACCCCUAUGCCAAAUUUUGACACCUUCUGGUAUUUGGCAGGGAUAAGUAUAAAACUGUUUGAUUAAUAUAAUGCAAACAAAAAUGUAUGCUGGCAAUUCUUAAGACAUUUCUAAUACUACUUUACCAAUAAUUUUAAAGCUACUUUAUUUAUUAAAGAUUUUACUUAAGUUACAUAAAUUUGAAAAAGCAUUUGACUAGCCUUUUCUUUUUUAGUAUCUGAUUUAAGCACUUUUAUUUUUCUUUAAGCCAAGUAGAGCUCUUUUACAUAUUUUUAGCACUAAAACAUCGUGUACACAACACAUUCUUCCUUAACCCAAGAGUAGCCUCUGUUGCAAUAGCUAUUUUAGUCAAAAAAUCCGGUGAAAACAGAAUUCAGUCAACUGAGAAGUAAAAGGAAAAAAAAAAAAAAAACUUUUGCUACAAAAAAAAGACAAGGUCUUAGGAGAGAAAAACAAACAAGAAACAAAAACAUGAAGGCCUUUCAAAUACAAACAUGCACAAAACACACAUCAUGGAUGUUACUGUUUCAGUUAAGCAGACUUUCAACCACUGAGCUUCUUUAAAAACUUAAAAAAAAAAUCUUAUUACCAAAUCUCAGCUAGGACAAAGUGUUGCUAUUUCAGAAGUACAGCCAUUGCUCUUUGAGUUUGGUCUGGCUAGCAAAAAGCUGGCUGUGUUAUGUAAAUAAAGCCCCUAUAGUAAUUAAAAUUUAAAAAAAGUUUUUUAAGCUGGCUGUUUUCCUACCACUUCAGAGUCCUUGACCCCGUAAUUUAGGGUUCCCCUUCAGAUUUGACUAAGACAGAAACAAACAACAAAACAGUUAAGCAAAACUAACAAUGGUCACACAAAUUAUACAAUUUCUGAGUGCUCUAAGUGCAUUGGAAGAAAGCUGAAACUCCAUAAAAACAUCACCUGCCUUCCAUCAUCAUGAAAGCAGGAAAACUUGCCUUCCUUGUUGGGAGCAAGUAAAACUCCAAAAAAAGAGGUGUUGUACAGCAAAAUAAACUUCCGAUCUCUACCAAAUUUUAAGAGAUCAGGGAUUUUCUGGAGGGAGUCCUCUCAGACCUCAGCAAAUUGUCCUAUUGGUUUGAGCCAUAAAGUUAGCUCAUGCUGGUACCAAGCACCGAUAGAUUUGUCAAGGGUCAGGGGCAUCUCCACCCAGAAUCCAUUCAUGGUUUCCAAAAUGUGAACCCAGAAAAUCCGAGACAGGUCUCAGUUAAUUUAGAAAGUUUAUUUUGCCAAGGUUGAGGACACACUGUGACACAGACUCAGGAAGUCCUGAUGACAUGUGGCCAAGAUGGUUGGGGCAUACCUUGGUUUUAUACAUUUUAGGGAGACAUAAGACAUUAAUCAAUAUAUGUAAGAAGAACAUUGGUUCAGUGGGGAGGGAGCUUCCAGGUCACAGAUAGGUGAGACACAAACAGUUGCAUUCUUUUGAGUUUCUGAUUAGCCUUUCCAAAGGAGGCAAUCAGAUAUGUAUCUAUCUCAGUGAGCAGAGAGAUAACUUUGAAUAGAGUGGGAGGUGGGUUUGCCCUAAGAAGUUUCCCUAAGCUUGAGUUUUCCUUAGUGAUUCUGGGGCCCCAAGAUAUUUUCCUGUCACAGUUGACAUCCCCAACACAGUGUUUAGGGCUCAGAAAAAGAUACCCUAAAAUAGGGUGCUUUGGCAUGCUGAGUGCUUUGAAUAAAGGAGACUGAAGGGCCUCAGAAAUAAGAGAACAAAGGUCUAUCUCUGACCCACUGCUGCCCACCUCCCUUCCCUUCCAAAGCACAGGGAGGGAUUUUCUUUGAAGUUCUCUUAUUUGAUUAAGGGAAGUUUCUCCAGAAGGAAGGUAAUUGUCCUGGACACCCCUUCCUGGAAUCUACAUCGAUCAGAGAAGAUUAACUCAUAUUGCAGGACAGGAGAAUAAUUAAAAGUUGCUCAAGACAGCACACCUAGAUAGACUUUUUGCUUAUUCUUUCAACUAUAGUUAUGUGUCCAAUAACAAUGUUUCGGUCAACUGCAUAUACAACCAUGGUUUGAUAAGAUUUAUAGUGGACUUGAAAAAUUCCUAUUGCCUAAUAUACUGAAGGAAGAAAAUGUUUUAAUAUGCAUUUUGUGUACCCUAAGUGUGCUGUGUUUAUAAAGCCUACAGUAGUAUACAGUAAUGCCCUAGGCCUUCACAUUCAUUCACCACUCACUGACUCAUCUGGAGCAACUCUCAGCCCUGCAAGCUCCAUUCGUAGUAAGUGCCCUGUACAGGAGAGCCAAUUCUUAUCUUUUAUGCCAUAUUUUUACUUUCCUUUUUCUCUGUUUACAUAUGUUUAGAUACACAAAUAUUUCCCAUUGUGCUGCAAUUGCCUAUAGUAUUCAGUAGUCACAUGCUGUACAGGUGCGUAGCCUGGGAGCAAUAGGCUCUCCCAUAUAGCCUAGGUAUGCAGUAGGCUAUGCCAUCUAAGUUUUGUAUAAGUACAAUCUGUGAUAAUCACACUACAAUGCAAUUGCCUAAUGACACAUUUAUCAGAAUGCGUCCCUGUCACCAAGAGAUACAUGACUGUAUUCUUCUUCUUUUUUUUUUUUUUUUUUUUUUUUGAGAUGGGGUCUCAUUCUGACACCCAGACUGGAGUGCAGUGGCAUGAUCUUGGCUCACUGCAACCUUUACAGCC
rnacentral:lncRNA from 1 species